UACGUAGGGUGCGAGCGUUAAUCGGAAUUACUGGGCGUAAGCGUGCGCAGGCGGCGCGUUAAGACAGGUGUGAAAGCCCCGAGCUUAACUUGGGAAUUGCGCUUGUGACUGGCGUGCUGGAGUGUGGCAGAGGGAGGUGGAAUUCCACGUGUAGCAGUGAAAUGCGUAGAGAUGUGGAGGAACACCGAUGGCGAAGGCAGCCUCCUGGGCCAGCACUGACGCUCAUACACGAAAGCGUGGGGAGCAAACAGG
rnacentral:rRNA from 1 species